GUUAGGAAUAUUGGACAAUGGGCGAAAGCCUGAUCCAGCCAUGCCGCGUGAACGAUGAAUGCCUUCGGGUUGUAAAGUUCUUUAGCCGAUGAUUAUAAUGACUGUAGUCGGAAAAUAAGCCCCGGCUAACUUCGUGCCAGCAGCCGCGGUAAUACGAAGGGGGCGAGCGUUAUUCGGAAUCACUGGGCGUAAAGCGUGCGUAGGCGGUUUUAUAAGUUAGGAGUGAAAGCCCAGGGCUCAACCUUGGAAUUGCUCUUAAAACUGCAAGGCUCGAAUCUCGGAGAGGAUAGCGGAAUUUCCAGUGUAGCAGUGAAAUGCGUAGAUAUUGGAAGGAACACCAGUGGCGUAAGCGGCUAUCUGGACGAGUAUUGACGCUGAGGCACGAAAGCGUGGGGAUCAAACAGGAUUAGAUACCCUGGUAGUCC
rnacentral:rRNA from 1 species